rnacentral:rRNA from 1 species
AACGAACGCUGGCGGCAUGCCUAACACAUGCAAGUCGAACGAGACCUUCGGGUCUUGUGGCGCCCGGGUGCGUAACGCGUGGGAACCUGCCCUUAGGUUCGGAAUAACUCCCCGAAAGGGGUGCUAAUACCGGACAAUGUCUUCUGCCCAAAGAUUUAUCGCCUUUGGUUGGGCCCGCGUUGGAUUAGCUAGUUGGUAGGGUAAAAGCCUACCAAGGCGACGAUCCAUAGCUGGUCUGAGAGGAUGAUCAGCGACACUGGGACUGGGACACGGCCCAGACUCCUACGGGAGGGAGCAGUGGGGAAUAUUGGACAAUGGGCGAAGGCAUGAUCCAGCAAUGCCGCGUGAGUGAUGAAGGCCUUAGGGUUGUAAAGCUCUUUUACCCGGGAUGAUAAUGACAGUACCGGGAGAAUAAGCUCCGGCUAACUACGUG